AUGGAAUCCGGGAAAGAUGAAUCUGACGAGUUAUCGACGCUGAUAGAGGAUAUCAUCUCGCUGGAGAGGGAGCGCAAAGGCUUGCUUGGGAACCUUACUCCCACGAUUUCUCGCUCGGAGGACAUCCUCUCUGGAACAACAACAUGGAGAGCCGCUGGAAAGGGAUUCAUGGCCGACAACACAAUGUCCGAUCCUGUCAAGAAGAACACGGACUCGCCACAGGUUAAAGAACUCGUCGAUUCCAUCCUCCAAGACACGGAGGACUUGGGCCACCGGCUGCUAUCCAUGUCACAAGAUCUUUGGAUUUCCCAUGCUGCAGCUUAG
rnacentral:rRNA from 1 species